rnacentral:rRNA from 1 species
GUGAGAUCUCCGGCUUGCUUGAACUGUGAAGCCGCGAGAUAUCGGAUCAGAGUGCCAAGUGGGCCACUUUUGGUAAGCAGAACUGGCGCUGUGGGAUGAACCAAACGCCGAGUUAAAGCGCCUAAAUCGACGCUUAUGGGAUACCAUGAAAGGCGUUGGUAACUUAAGACAGCAGGACGGUGGCCAUGGAAGUCGGAAUCCGCCAAGGAGUGUGUAACAACUCACCUGCCGAAGUUACUAGCCCUGAAAAUGGAUGGCGCUGAAGCGUCGUGCUUAUACUCUGCCGUCAGCGGCAUGUGAGACGGUCCUUAAGAGGUCGUCAUGAAGCCCUGACGAGUAGGAGGGUCGCGGCGGUGAGCGCAGAAGGACCAGGCGCGAGCCAGUCUGGAGCCGCCGUCGGUGCAGAUCUUGGUGGUAGUAGCAAAUACUCCAGCGAGGCCCUGGAGGACUGACGUGGAGAAGGGUUUCGUGUGAACAGCCGUUGCACACGAGUCAGUCGAUCCUAAGCCAUAGGCGAAAGCCGAUGUCGAUGCGGUGUAUCUUUCAGUGUCUAAUAGUAGGACGUAUAGAGAGACUCACACCCGUCGGGCGAAAGGGAAUCCGGUUCCUAUUCCGGAACCCGGCAGCGGAACCGUUAUUAAGUCGUGCCCUCAUUCAGAGAGUUCGUCGGGGCAACCCAAAAGGACCUGGAGACGCCGUCGGGAGAUCCGGGAAGAGUUUUCUUUUCUGCAUAAGCGCUCGAGUUCCAUGCAAUCCUCUAGCAGGGAGAUAUGGUUUGGAGCGCGAAGAGCACCGCAGUUGCGGCGGUGUCCGGAUCUUCCCCUCGGACCUUGAAAAUCCAGGAGAGGGCCACGUGGAGGCGUCGCGCCGGUUCG